GACGAACGCUGGCGGUAUGCUUAACACAUGCAAGUCGAACGAGAAGCUUUUUAAUGAUCCUUCGGGUGAACUAAGAAGUGGAAAGUGGCGAACGGGUGAGUAACGCGUGGGUAACCUGCCUCAUGGAAAGGAAUAGCCUCGGGAAACUGGGAGUAAAGCCUUAUAUUAUUGAGUUGUCGCAUGGCAAUUCGAUGAAAACUCCGGUGCCAUGAGAUGGACCCGCGUCCCAUUAGCUAGUUGGUGAGAUAACAGCCCACCAAGGCAACGAUGGGUAACCGGUCUGAGAGGGCGAACGGUCACACUGGAACUGAGACACGGUCCAGACUCCUACGGGAGGCAGCAGUGGGGAAUAUUGCGCAAUGGGGGAAACCCUGACGCAGCAAUACCGCGUGAGUGAAGAAGGUUUUCGGAUCGUAAAACUCUUUUGUUGGGGAAGAAGAAGUGACGGUACCCAAUGAAGAAGUCCCGGCUAACUACGUGCCAGCCGCCGCCGUAA
rnacentral:rRNA from 1 species